CAUGGAAUAAUUUUAUCAUUAUCUUUCAUCUUACACAAAUCUUUCAAAUAUGAAACAAUUUUUAAAGAAAAUAUUUUUUCCAAGCCUCGAGAAUCGUUUUGUAUCAUUGCGUAUGCAAAGUGUUGCGUCAAAAUAGAGCAAUCAGCUGGAAAUUAUUACUGUUGGUCAAAUAACAAAUUGAUAAAAUAUCGGCACGAGGAAGAGAAGAGAAAAAGCAAAAGUUGAGCUGUAAGAGUUAACACUUGGAUCACGGAACUACGAAAAAAGCUAGAGUGUUGGUAGACAUUGUGCGAACGGAAAAAUACAGAGAUCUUGCGGGUUCAGGCGAGAAAGAGAGGAGAUGAAGAACUUAUCUUGGAUGAAGAGCAACUCAAAAAUUUUCAAGAGGUGGAGAAGUUAAAGAUCAAAGGAAUCUUUUUACACGAAAGAUUAAAGAUCAAAGGAACCUUUUUUCAUGAGAGAUUAAAGAUCAAAGGAACUUUUUACAUGAGAGAUUAAAGAUCAAAGGAACAGAAGUGAUGGAGAACUUAACUUGAAUGAAGAGUUAUUUCAGAAAUUGAAGAGGUCGUUUUAAAUGUAGUAUAUAAGUGCUUAUGCCAUACAAGUAAGAUGUGCAAUUGAAAAGCAAAAUUUGUGGUGAGCUAAAUAUAGGAUUACAGAGUAUCCUUAGAACAAAGAGGGCAGUGAUUUGUGCUGACUUCAACAUAAUGCUAACUGUGACCUCAUAGUGCUGAUGGUUACAUUAGACUGGCAGUGACCGCAGUUAUAGAUAAUGCAUUACCCAUGACGUUCAUUGUCUUAUGACUUUUGAUAAACACAAUUAACAUAAAGUAACAAGCUCAUCGGUCUUAAUACAAACACUACCCGUGAUAGACGGAUAGUUCGUGAAACCUUUGGCAAAAAGAAUGGAAAUGGUUACAGUGAAUACCUUUAUUGGAGAAGCAGGAACAUAAAGUGAGCAAAAAGAAGAGUGGAAUAAACACACAUGCAGGUAGAUAACAUUUUAUUUAAAUGAUGUAAUCUAAAAGAUCGGCUGUGACAAUUAAGAGAUUGCAAAGUGAUGGCAAACGAGAGUGUAAUUGAACUGUCCUAAAUCGUGAUGUAAGGAGAAAGUGAUGGAAACUGAAAAAAAGAAUGCUAUGUAGUCAUGAAAAAAAACUUGACGCAAGAUAUGUAUGUUUAACAAGAUGUGCUCGAGAUAACCAUUGCGUUCUUUACAGUGAAUGUGAUCAGAGAGACAGGAAGAAAACUUCUAAGAAUCGCUAAAACAGUUUAUCUUAUUUUUUUAACCCAAUGAAGUUAUUGUGUAUAAUGCUUGAUGAUUUCCAUUAGUUAUUAAAAUUUUCGCUCAACAUUGGGAUCACAGAGAUAACACCACCAUCGUACAUGAGAUGACUGUGCAGGAAAAUCUUUGAUAAAAUUUAAAACAAUCAAUUGCAGGAUAUUGUAAUGUUACUUGUGCAUAGACAAUUUAAUGAAUCACCUUAAUGCUUACGUACAGCUAUUUAAACAGUACUCUAUAAAUCUUGUUUUUUCGUACUCGCCCAUUUUAUGAUAAACAAAACCAAGAUUAA